rnacentral:tRNA from 1 species
GGUGGCUCAGUGAUAGAGCACUUGCCUUGCAAGCAUGAGGCCCUGGGUUCGAUUCCUCAGCACCA